rnacentral:rRNA from 1 species
AACGAACGCUGGCGGCAGGCUUAACACAUGCAAGUCGAACGCCCCGCAAGGGGAGUGGCAGACGGGUGAGUAACGCGUGGGAAUCUACCCAGUUCUACGGAACAACUGAGGGAAACUUCAGCUAAUACCGUAUACGCCCUACGGGGGAAAGAUUUAUCGGAAUUGGAUGAGCCCGCGUUGGAUUAGCUAGUUGGUGGGGUAAUGGCCUACCAAGGCGACGAUCCAUAGCUGGUCUGAGAGGAUGAUCAGCCACACUGGGACUGAGACACGGCCCAGACUCCUACGGGAGGCAGCAGUGGGGAAUAUUGGACAAUGGGCGAAAGCCUGAUCCAGCCAUGCCGCGUGAGUGAUGAAGGCCCUAGGGUUGUAAAGCUCUUUCAGUGGGGAAGAUAAUGACGGUACCCACAGAAGAAGCCCCGGCUAACUACGUGCCAGCAGCCGCCGUAAGAC